GUCUAACCUGCCCACUGAAUUUUGUUUGAAGGGCCGCAGUAUUUUGACUGUGCAAAGGUAGCAUAAUCAUUAGUCUUUUAAUUGAAGGCUGGUAUGAAUGGUUGGACGAGAUACAAGCUGUGUCAUAAAAAUUAAAAUUUGAAUUUAUCUUUUUAGUUAAAAGACUAAAAUAAAAUUAAAAGACGAGAAGACCCUAUAGAGCUUUAUAUAAUUAAUAUUUAAAUUAUUAAGAUUUUUUAAAUUAAAAUAUUAUUUUAUAUUUUGUUGGGGUGACAAUAAAAUUUAUAAAACUUUUAUUUUUAUUAAACAUUAAUUUAUGAUUAGAUGAUCCAAUUUUAUUGAUUAUAAAUUUAAGUUACCUUAGGGAUAACAGCGUAAUUUUUUUUGAGAGUUCUUAUCGACAAAAAAGAUUGCGACCUCGAUGUUGGAUUAAGAGUAAUUUUGGGUGUAGAAGUUCAAAGUUUAAGUC
rnacentral:rRNA from 1 species